UACAGAGGAGCCAAGCGUUGUCCGGAUUGACUGGGCGUAAAGCGCACGCAGGCGGACGCGCGCGUGGGGUGUGAAAUCUGGCCGCUUAACGGCCAGGCGCCAUCCCAUACGGCGCGUCUGGAGCUAUGCAGAGGUCGGUGGAAUUGCCGGUGUAGUGGUGAAAUGCGUAGAGAUCGGCAGGAACACCCAGGGGGAAACCAGCCGACUGGGCAUAUGCUGACGCUGAGGUGCGAGAGCGUGGGGAGCGAACCGG
rnacentral:rRNA from 1 species